rnacentral:siRNA from 1 species
GGAAGGCUACAAUCUUAUGUUGCA